GUGGGGGAUAUUGCACAAUGGAGGAAACUCUGAUGCAGCGACGCCGCGUGAGUGAAGAAGUAUUUCGGUAUGUAAAGCUCUAUCAGCAGGGAAGAUAAUGACAGUACCUGACUAAGAAGCCCCGGCUAACUACGUGCCAGCAGCCGCGGUAAUACGUAGGGGGCAAGCGUUAUCCGGAUUUACUGGGUGUAAAGGGAGCGUAGACGGAAUGGCAAGUCUGAAGUGAAAUCCUGCGGCUUAACUGCAGAAUUGCUUUGGAAACUGUCAAUCUGGAGUGUUGGAGAGGUAAGCGGAAUUCCUGGUGUAGCGGUGAAAUGCGUAGAUAUCAGGAAGAACACCGGAGGCGAAGGCGGCUUACUGGACAAUAACUGACGUUGAGGCUCGAAAGCGUGGGAAGCAAACAGGAUUAGAUACCCUUGUAGUCC
rnacentral:rRNA from 1 species